GACAGGUGCUGCAUGGCUGUCGUCAGCUCGUGUCGUGAGAUGUUCGGUUAAGUCCGCUAACGAGCGCAACCCUCGCUGUGUGUUACAAGUGUCACACGGAACUGCCGGUCAUAAACCGGAGGAAGGUGGGGAUGACGUCAAGUCAGCAUGGCCUUUAUAUCCUGGGCUACACACACGCUACAAUGGGAAGGGACAAUAGGUUGCGAAGCCGCGAGGUGGAGCCAAUCCAGCAAAACUUCCCUCAGUUCAGAUUGCAGGCUGCAACUCGCCUGCAUGAAGUUGGAGUUGCUAGUAAACGCAGGUCAGCCAUACUGCGUUGAAUACGUUCCCGGGGCUU
rnacentral:rRNA from 1 species